rnacentral:rRNA from 1 species
AUUGAACGCUAGCGGGAUGCUUUACACAUGCAAGUCGAACGGCAGCGCGGACUUCGGUCUGGCGGCGAGUGGCGAACGGGUGAGUAAUGUAUCGGAACGUGCCCAGUAGCGGGGGAUAACUACGCGAAAGCGUAGCUAAUACCGCAUACGCCCUACGGGGGAAGGCAGGGGAUCGUAAGACCUUGCACUAUUGGAGCGGCCGAUAUCGGAUUAGCUAGUUGGUGAGGUAACGGCUCACCAAGGCGACGAUCCGUAGCUGGUUUGAGAGGACGACCAGCCACACGGGGACGUGGCAACGGCCCAAACCCCCAGGGGAGGCCGCAGGGGGGAAUUUUGGAAAAGGGGGGAAACCCUAAUCCAGCCACCCCGGGGGUGGGAUGAAGGCCUCCGGGUUUUAAAGCCAUUUUGGCAGGAAAAAAACGUCGCGGGCAAAGCCCCCGGGGAACGGACGGAACCUGCAGAAAAAGCACGGGCAACCUACUG